ACGAACGCUGGCGGCAGGCUUAACACAUGCAAGUCGAGCGCCCCGCAAGGGGAGCGGCAGACGGGUGAGUAACGCGUGGGAAUCUACCCUUUUCUACGGAAUAACGCAGGGAAACUUGUGCUAAUACCGUAUGUGUCCUUCGGGAGAAAGAUUUAUCGGGAAAGGAUGAGCCCGCGUUGGAUUAGCUAGUUGGUGGGGUAAAGGCCUACCAAGGCGACGAUCCAUAGCUG
rnacentral:rRNA from 1 species